GAAUUUUGGACAAUGGGCGAAAGCCUGAUCCAGCAAUGCCGCGUGCAGGAUGAAGGCCUUCGGGUUGUAAACUGCUUUUGUACGGAAAGAAAAGGUUUGGGUUAAUACCCUGGCGUUAUGACGGUCACGUAAGAAUAAUCACCGGCUAACUACGUGCCAGCAGCCGCGGUAAUGCGUAGGGUGCAAUCGUUAAGCGGAAUUACUGGGCGUGAAGCGUUCGCAGGCGGUUUUGUAAGACAGAGGUGAAAUCCCCGGGCUCAACCUGGGAACUGCCUUUGUGACUGCAAGGCUAGAGUACGGCAGAGGGGGGUGGAAUUCCGCGUGUAGCAGUGAAAUGCGUAGAUAUGCGGAGGAACACCGAUGGCGAAGGCAACCCCCUGGGCCUGUACUGACGCUCAUGCACGAAAGCGUGGGGAGCAAACAGG
rnacentral:rRNA from 1 species